GACGUAGGGUCCAAGCGUUAUCCGGAUUUACUGGGCGUAAAGAGCGCGUAGGCGGUCUGUUAAGUGUAGAGUGAAAUCUCUGGGCUCACCCCAGAAACUGCUCUGCAUACUGGCAGACUUGAGGGAUGCAGAGGUUUGUGGAAUUCCUGGUGUAGCGGUGAAAUGCGUUGAUAUCAGGAGGAACACCCAUGGCGAAGGCAGCAAACUGGGCAUCAUCUGACGCUGAGGCGCGAAAGCCAGGGGAGCGAACGGG
rnacentral:rRNA from 1 species